UACGUAGGGUGCAAGCGUUGUCCGGAUUCAUUGGGCGUAAAGGGUGCGUAGGUGGCGCCGUAAGUCGGGUGUGAAAUUUCGGAGCUUAACUCCGAAACUGCAUUCGAUACUGCGGUGCUUGAGGACUGGAGAGGAGACUGGAAUUCAUGGUGUAGCAGUGAAAUGCGUAGAUAUCUGGAGGAACACCGGUGGCGAAGGCGGCAUCCUGGACCGACACUGACACUGAGGAGCGAAAGCCAGGGGAGCAAACGGG
rnacentral:rRNA from 1 species